rnacentral:rRNA from 1 species
UACGUAGGUCACAAGCGUUAUCCGGAAUUAUUGGGCGUAAAGGGUGCGCAGUCGGUCGAUUAAGUCUGUGUUGAAAGUGCGGGGCUCAACCCCGUAUUGGCAUGGAAACUGAUAGACUAGAGUACAGUAGGGGGUAAUGGAAUUCCAUGUGUAGCGGUAAAAUGCGUAGAUAUAUGGAGGAACACCAGUGGCGAAGGCGGUUACCUGGACUGAAACUGACGAUGAGGCACGAAAGCGUGGGGAGC